rnacentral:rRNA from 1 species
CCAUUUCCUGUUAUAGUGAGGCAUGAGAUGCGGGUCUAUACAUGCAAGUCGAGCGGAUCGAUGGGAGCUUGCUCCCUGAGAUCAGCGGCGGACGGGUGAGUAACACGUGGGUAACCUGCCUGUAAGACUGGGAUAACUCCGGGAAACCGGGGCUAAUACCGGAUAACACCUACCCCCGCAUGGGGGAAGGUUGAAAGGUGGCUUCGGCUAUCACUUACAGAUGGACCCGCGGCGCAUUAGCUAGUUGGUGAGGUAAUGGCUCACCAAGGCGACGAUGCGUAGCCGACCUGAGAGGGUGAUCGGCCACACUGGGACUGAGACACGGCCCAGACUCCUACGGGAGGCAGCAGUAGGGAAUCUUCCGCAAUGGACGAAAGUCUGACGGAGCAACGCCGCGUGAGUGAAGAAGGUUUUCGGAUCGUAAAACUCUGUUGUUAGGGAAGAACAAGUGCCGUUCGAAUAGGGCGGCGCCUUGACGGUACCUAACCAGAAAGCCACGGCUAACUACGUGCCAGCAGCCGCGGUAAUACGUAGGUGGCAAGCGUUGUCCGGAAUUAUUGGGCGUAAAGCGCGCGCAGGUGGUUUCUUAAGUCUGAUGUGAAAGCCCACGGCUCAACCGUGGAGGGUCAUUGGAAACUGG